AGACCUACAGCCAGACAGGAUGAUCACAGACAAUGUGAUUUGGUGAUGGGAGCUAUGAGCAGUGCAGGCAUGUUGGAUUCAAGGGAUGUUGGGAUCUUUUCUCUCAUCACCUCUGUACCGUCCACGUUUUUGCCCUCAGGCCCUGUUGAAGAGAAUGGACAGUCAUCUGAAAAAAGACAAUUCUGUUACGUACCACGUAUACAGCUCAAACCCCGACCGACCAGAAACCUCAGCCCAGCCGGAUGGGUUGUACAGUCUUCUGCAAGCACACUGACACUACACCACUGGCUUUCUGUAGCUAUUUCUCACAGAAAUACUCUUUCUUGCAGGAUGACCU